rnacentral:rRNA from 1 species
AUUGAACGCUAGCGGCAGGCCUAACACAUGCAAGUCGAACGAGUGGCGGACGGGUGAGUAAUAUCUGGGAAACUGCCUGAUGGAGGGGGAUAACUACUGGAAACGGUGGCUAAUACCGCAUACCAUCAGAUGGGCCGAUAUGGGAUUAGCUAGUUGGUGGGGUAACGGCUCACCAAGGCGACGAUCCCUAGCUGGUGUGAGAGGAUGACCAGCCACACUGGGACUGAGACACGGCCCAGACUCCUACGGGAGGCAGCAGGGGGGAAUAUUGCACAAUGGGCGCAAGCCUGAUGCAGCCCUGCCGCGUGUAUGAAGAAGGCCUUCGGGUUGUAAAGUACUUUCGGCAGGGAGGCGUUACCCGCAGAAGAAGCACCGGCUAACUCCGUGCCAGCAGCCGCGGUAAUAC